UUUUGGUGAUGAACCAACUAUCAGUUCUGCUUCCGAAGGCGUGUUUACACCUUGUGGAAACUCAAUACCAAUGACUCUCUACUGAUUU
rnacentral:snoRNA from 1 species